UAAAUUUUAAGUUAUAAAAAACUAUAAACCUUCAAAGUUUAAAAUGAGAGUAUUCUUAAGUUUAA
rnacentral:tRNA from 1 species